rnacentral:rRNA from 1 species
GGGUCAGUAGGUUGGUCGUGCCACCGGUACGUACUGGUCUCACUGAUUCCUCCUUCCUGAAGAACCGUAAUGCCAUUAAUUUGGUGUUGCGGGGAAACAGGACUGUUACUUUGAAAAAAUUAGAGUGUUUAAAGCAAGCUAACGCCUGAGUACAUUAGCAUGGAAUAAUGAAAUAGGACGAUCGAUCCUAUUUUGUUGGUUUCUAGGAUUGACGUA